UUAUUUAGUUUUCUUAAGUUAUUAGUUAAUAUAUUAUUAUACUUAUUAGCUUUAUUAUUUUUUUUCAAAAUGAAUCCUGUAUAUGUCAGUAUAGUGGUUAUGAAGCAACAUCCAUACAGAAAAUCGUUUGCGAUUACAAUUUCAUCUUUUGUAAAUUGUAUUUACAUAUGUUUUUAUGAUUAUACAUUUAUCUUAAGUUCAUACAUUUCAAUGAUAAUUAUUUUAUUAGAUGACCGGUAAUGCGAUUAUAACUAAUAACUAGGAUAAUAAGCAAAAGUCUUCUGUUACAGUUAAAAAAAGGAAGUAUCCCAGUAUGAAGAAAUUUUAAGUGUUGGGGUUUUGCGCUUUUUUUAUCAAUGAGGGUACAAAGUUGUUGCCUCCUCAACAAUUUAAUGCCAGAACCGCCACUGCAUUAAAACAUUUUUAAAAAUAUUUUUCUCACUCUGAUAUAUUUUUUUUAUAAGAAAUAAAACGAUUCAUGCAGAAAUGGGUUGACAAACAGUAAUUACUACUGUUUUUUAAGUAAAUAGAAAAUAAAUCAAUUUGUCACAAUUUUGUUUUGCUGGCAAUGGUCGAGAACUAAUGGUUUAUCUUGAUGAACAAAAGUACUUCCUCGAGGGCUUCGUGUCCCGCAUGGAUGGCGUACUAGCAGCUUUCGACAUAAACGAACAUCGGCUUGCAAUUCUGAUGGUUUUAAAUGUUGACGCUUCGACUCAGCCAACUAGUGUACCAGUUGACUUGCACUUGUGACAGUUGCAUCACGAAUAAAUCAUUUUGUUUCUGUUGUCAGAGCUGAUGUAUUUCAUUCCUGCUCCAAAACAUUGGCCAGCGUAGUGCAAGCUCUGUUAAGAAAUCUACACAAAGUGAAAAAAACAAUGAUGAUGAUACCUACUUUUCAACGCGCCAUUGAUAAACUGCAGACAAAAUCUCACCAAUUGACUCAUUUCCAUUACUUGCUAUGUGAAGCAUGCAUAAUGUCUUAUAAUCUUAAGGCUUCGCUGAAAGUCUUAGAUCAGGAAGUUUAUUUUUUAAACUCCGAUGAACCUAAAAUUAUAUUUGAACCGAAAUACUUUUUCAACUACUACUUUUCGGGCGGUCUCAUAUACACAGCGAUGAAAAACUUUGACAGAGCAAUUACUUUUUUCGAAAUUGUUUUCAUGACAACAUUUCCUGUAAUUUCGCCAAUCACGAUUGAUUCCUAUAAGAAAUUCAUUUUACUUGUCCUCAUACACUUCGGAUCGGUACCAACAUACCGUAACGUUGAUCCCACAAUCCUCGAUGAAUUGUAUGGACCAACGUGUCAACCGUACUUAGAUUUGGUACCACUUUAUCAAAGUGGAAAUUUAACAGCAGUCCACGCGACAAUUGCUAAACACCAAGAUAUUUAU